GAUGAACGCUGGCGGCGUGCCUAAUACAUGCGAGUCGAGCGAACAGACGAGGCGCUUGCUCCUCUGACGUUAGCGGCGGACGGGUGAGUAACACGUGGAUAACCUACCUAUAAGACUGGGAUAACUUCGGGAAACCGGAGCUAAUACCGGAUAAUAUAUUGAACCGCAUGGUUCAAUAGUGAAAGACGGUUUUGCUGUCACUUAUAGAUGGAUCCGCGCCGCAUUCGCUAGUUGGUAAGGUAACGGCUUACCAAGGCAACGAUGCGUAGCCGACCUGAGAGGGUGAUCGGCCACACGGGAACUGAGACUCGGUCCAGACUCCUACGGGAGGCAGCAGUAGGGAAUCUUCCGCAAUGGGCGAAAGCCUGACGGAGCAACGCCGCGUGAGUGAUGAAGGUCUUCGGAUCGUAAAGCUCUGUUAUUAGGGAAGAACAAAUGUGUAAGUAACUAUGCACGUCUUGACGGUACCUAAUCAGAAAGCCACGGCUAACUACGUG
rnacentral:rRNA from 1 species